UAGGAUUCAGGAUGGAUUAUCAGGGUUGCUGGAAGAUCAAUAAAAGCCCAUCAAGAAAGAAUACAUUUAGAUGUACUGCUGUUCCAGCUUCUCACCCUCCUGCAGCAGAAUGCAGAGCAGAAGCAAAGCAAUGGGCAGUGACAGACAGCAGCUCUCUGAGGAUCACAGUGCAUGGCGCAGUCUCACUAAAGAAGUAAGUAGCAAAGGUUAAAAUGAAAAAUUCCCUUCAUCUCAGUGAUGUGGUGUAAGAGGGACAGUGGCACUCCCUGCCUACUUUGCACAGCUGUUUUCCACAGAGGACUGUGCAGUCGAUUUGUUUUGGAGUUACCACAUAUGACAGAGUAGCAGAUUAAUAAAUAUUUGAUAGGGCAUGUUUUGAUCGGCGUAGCCUUGCUUUUUGGCACGAUACCACGUUUACUCUAAAGAAGGAUAAGCUGAGGCCAGUUAGCAUGCAGUGCCUGCACAACCACCACAGCAAAUCACAGCCACGGUGAGGACGGAGCCCGGGUCCUGUCCCCACGGCCUAAGCAGACAGAACUCUUCCUUGAAUCCUGGUUGCAUUGCAGCCCCACUUGACACCAAGGAAAGGGCUCUACCAACAGAAAACGAACUUACUCUAUGUCAAGAUACUAAUUCAGAGCACAGAAAAUUUAAAGCAAAUAUCCUCCACAAUAACUUAAAGCAGAAAAAAAAAAAGGCAAGCAUUCAGUGUUGGCGCUAUCACUGAGCGCUGUAAUAACAUGCACUUCCCACACAAGGGUUCCACGCACUCCCAUUGAUACUUCCCCUCACAGGCCUAUUUUUACACCUGCACAUCCUACCUGUUCCAGAGCACACCUCAGAGCACCUGGCGCCAGUCUGCACCGCCUGAUGUGAGCUGCAGGACACAGAUCAUGGCAAGAGGAGAAGGACUCCAGGUGAGAGCAGCAACAGGCUGCUGUUGGGAAAUGGGGAUUACAGAUUAUCUUCUACAUAGUGACCAGACAAUCCUGACUGGUCUGCAAUCAGACUGAACACUCAAGCAGGCAUUUUGCCUUCAAUGGCUGGAGUAGUGCCUCACCACUUGUUCCUUUCUCUUUCUCUGGGAAAGGUCUUAAAUCAGAGAGACUGAGGAAAAGUAGCUCUCCUUAACUGCGGGGCUGAGGCCUUCUGGCUGCACUGAACACAGAAACGUUUCAUAUAUUUCAGUACCUGGCAGUAGAUCCCCAGAACCUUGUUACUGGAAUGUUCCUCAGACAGAUGCCAUUCCUGCUUUCAAUGUGGUGAGUGAUCCUGUUCCCUAAAAAAACACUUCAAAGCAGUUAGUGAUAACAUAAGAAACAGUGCUAGCAAGGUGUGGGCUGACUUUCUGGAGAAGCUUUCAGCAAUGAUAAUGUGAAUUCAAAUGACUGAACAAAAGCAAAAGACUAUUCUAAAGGGAAAAAAAAAGCAGGUAAUAAAAUAAUUUACCACCUCAAGGAACUUGUCUUGCAUUGAGAUGUAAAGCUCUUCUAAUCAGAGCUACAGAUGCUGGGCAGCUUCAAUAUCUGAGUGUUAAACACCCAAGGAAGUACCCAAAUCAAGCCCAAGGUGUUCCAACAAAAGGGGACGUUCUGGUGUAACACAGCGAUUUGCACAGGGGCCUGGUGAGAUCAGAGAUGCAGAAGACCCAAUUAAGCUGUCAGAGGAAGCUGCUGCUGCCAUGGAGCUGUUACUACAGAGAUCUGAGCUGGUUCAAGAACGCCAGGCUGCCAGCAGAGAGGGGCUGCCUGAUGCAGUCACAGACCAGCACGGAGGCCUUUAGGGAGAUGCUGCUGUGCCCCAAGGUGCAUCAGUUGCGCUGCCCCGGCUCACCACCCAGAAACACAUUAAGAUAUAUUACUCAGUGCACGCUUCCAAAUUCCAACUGCUGUUUUCCACAAAGGACAAGCAAUACAUCUAUCCCAAACACUUGUAGUAAAGUGUUCAAAGUACAAAUAUCCCUGUAGAAUACCCUGUGACCAAUGUCUUUACGAGGUAAGCAUGCUUGUAAGGAGGGACUUCAGAGCCGGUGGAAAAGGCAGCACCUCAGUACCCUUUGAUCUUCAUCCAUAGGUACUUUGAGUUUGAAUAGUUCUUGGGGUCAAACAUAGAACACCCUGAGUUGGCAGGGACCAUGAGGAUCAUCGUGCCCAGCUCCUGGCUCCACACAGAACCACUAAAAACCAAACCCUACAUCUGAAGGCCUUCUCCAAACACUCCUUGAGCUCCAACAGCUCGGGGCAGUGUUGGCAGGCACAAUUAUUUAUAUUUCAUUUGGCAUGGAACAAUUCUGAAUGCUACUGAAAGAGAUGGUGAUGACUGAUCACGUAAUUUUAUAUCAAUUUCUUUCACACAGGAAAGGAAAAAGCUGUUUGAAAAACUAGCAGCUGUUGUUGCAGAUAUUCUGGUAAUGAUUGACGUGGUUGGAGUUAGUUUGCUGAUGGGCAUUCUGCACUGAACAGCUGAAAUGCUCUCAAAGUUACACAAUGACUUCUCUACCGAACUGGAAGAAGUGCAAGAAGCCUCAAAUGAAGAUGAAGAGCGUGAGCAGCUUUCCCAUCAAAUGGAAACCCUCCCAGAACAGCAUGUACAUUCUGUACGACUUCUACAGGAGGACAAAAAACUCAAGGAGAAGAAAAGGCUUCACAUCGAGACCCAUGAAAGCACAACAUUUAAUUUAAACAACACUUCGAAAGCAUUAAUAUGAGGGAGUCUCUGUGCACUGCUUGCCAGGAGGUGCUGCCAAGGCCCACGGACAUACAGCCAUUCUGAAAACACAGCUUCAUCCAUACUGCAGCACUAAAGCAAAUGCUAGCAUUGAAAACUCUCCAUUUGCCAUUUGGCCUUGAAAACAGAGUAAGGUGAGCAGAACUAUUUGGGGCUGUUUCACAAAAUCAAAGACUCUUCCUGGAAUAGGACAUCUCAAGACACAUCCUUUCAAUGUUCCCCAAUCAGUUUCAGAAGAACUAAGAGUAAAGGUUAUCAGAAAGUAAUAGAACAACUCACUUUCUGAAGACAAAACCGUCACUUCAGCAGUUGGUGAAUGAUUCCACACUGAUGGUGGAAUCAUUCUCUUUUCUAAGCCAAUGUGCCUUUCCAAUUAUGGGUGUAACUGUUGUCUGUGUGCCAAGAAGAACCAUCUCAGAGCCUGGGUAAAAUAAGCGCUGAGAUAGGAGAUAGCUGUCACUGCUGCGCGUUUCAGAGCAACAAUCGUCGAUCCGGGGUGUGCUGACCCCAUCUCGUGACCGGCAGUGGAAGUGCAGGAGCUAUGAAAGAUGCCCGGCCGAGACCAGAGGGAAGUUUCUCACCCGACCAAGUGCUGCUGCUGCUUCUGUAUUCAUGCGAAAAUGAAUCUAAUAACACCUGAAUGUGAAAAUUAAAAACGUAAAUUAACAGCUGGCAAAAUUUAUACCACAAAGUUUGACCCGGACAAGGAUGAAAACUGCAUUUGGGUUUAACUUUUGGCUUUGGAAGCACUGCUCCUUAGUUUGCUCUGCAGGCCAAGCAGCUGCCGUGCCCAGCAGGCUCCCAGUCAGCCAUUCGCCACUCUGGUCACUGAAAACACGGCCCCGUGUUCCCUUCUCACAUCUGUGAUAAAAAUAAUUACUGGCGAAGCCCGCUGGGACACCACAUGCAGAAGGACUUCACCAUCCA
rnacentral:lncRNA from 1 species